GCCAGUGUGGCACAUGGUUUUGAGUGUUGGACUACAACUCUGGAGACCAGGGUUCGAUUCCCACCUCGGACA